GAUGAACGCUGGCGGCGUGCCUAAUACAUGCAAGUCGAGCGAACAGAUGAGGAGCUUGCUCCUCUGACGUUAGCGGCGGACGGGUGAGUAACACGUGGAUAACCUACCUAUAAGACUGGGAUAACUUCGGGAAACCGGAGCUAAUACCGGAUAAUAUAUUGAACCGCAUGGUUCAAUAGUGAAAGACGGUUUUGCUGUCACUUAUAGAUGGAUCCGCGCCGCAUUAGCUAGUUGGUAAGGUAACGGCUUACUAAGGCAACGAUGCGUAGCCGACCUGAGAGGGUGAUCGGCCACACUGGAACUGAGACACGGUCCAGACGCCUACGGGAGGCAGCAGUAGGGAAUCUUCCGCAAUGGGCGAAAGCCUGACGGAGCAACGCCGCGUGAGUGAUGAAGGUCUUCGGAUCGUAAAACUCUGUUAUUAGGGAAGAACAAAUGUGUAAGUAACUAUGCACGUCUUGACGGUACCUAAUCAGAAAGCCACGGCUAACUACGUG
rnacentral:rRNA from 1 species